rnacentral:tRNA from 1 species
GGCGGCGUAGCUCAGUUGGUAGAGCAGGGGACUCAUAAGCCCUAGGUCACAGGUUCAAGUCCUGUCGCCGCCA